rnacentral:lncRNA from 1 species
AAGCUCAAAAGCUUCCUGCCAUGCCAAGAGGUCUCUGCUCCCUCAUUACUCCCUGGCACAGAUGAAAACUCAAGCUACAUCUACUAAUAAAUGUACUGAAGACCAAACAUACUCUAAAAAAGUCUACUUAAGUCAGCGACAGCUGCCUGCUCGGGAGGAAGGAGCAGAGACUUUGGGUUCGGACCCCUUGGAGUGAUCGACCCGCCACCCAUCAUCUGUCUCCUUCGGGAAGCCUCACAUCACGGUGUGAAAUAUUGGCGAACUCAGUGAUCCAUGCGAUGGUGAACAAACAGC